rnacentral:rRNA from 1 species
UGGGGAAUAUUGCACAAUGGGCGAAAGCCUGAUGCAGCGACGCCGCGUGAGGGAUGACGGCCUUCGGGUUGUAAACCUCUUUCAGCAGGGAAGAAGCGAGAGUGACGGUACCUGCAGAAGAAGCGCCGGCUAACUACGUGCCAGCAGCCGCGGUAAUACGUAGGGCGCAAGCGUUGUCCGGAAUUAUUGGGCGUAAAGAGCUCGUAGGCGGCUUGUCGCGUCGGAUGUGAAAGCCCGGGGCUUAACCCCGGGUCUGCAUUCGAUACGGGCAGGCUAGAGUUCGGUAGGGGAGAUCGGAAUUCCUGGUGUAGCGGUGAAAUGCGCAGAUAUCAGGAGGAACACCGGUGGCGAAGGCGGAUC